rnacentral:rRNA from 1 species
GUAACGCGUGGGUAACCUGCCUCAUACACAUGGAUAACAUACCGAAAGGUAUGCUAAUACAAGAUGAUAUAAGAGAUUCGCAUGGAUUUCUUAUCAAAGCUUUUGCGGUAUGAGAUGGACCCGCGUCUGAUUAGCUAGUUGGUAAGGUAAUGGCUUACCAAGGCGACGAUCAGUAGCCGACCUGAGAGGGUGAUCGGCCGCAUUGGAACUGAGACACGGUCCAAACUCCUACGGGAGGCAGCAUG